UAGUCGGUUCCUAAGGCGAGGCUGAAAAGCGUAGUCGAUGGGAAACAGGUCAAUAUUCCUGUACUUCUGGUUACUGCGAUGGAGGGACGGAGAAGGCUAGGCCAGCUUGGCGUUGGUUGUCCAAGUUUAAGGUGGUAGGCUGAAAUCUUAGGUAAAUCCGGGGUUUCAAGGCCGAGAGCUGAUGACGAGUCGUCUUUUAGAUGACGAAGUGGUUGAUGCCAUGCUUCCAAGAAAAGCUUCUAAGCUUCAGGUAACCAGGAACCGUACCCCAAACCGACACAGGUGGUCGGGUAGAGAAUACCAAGGCGCUUGAGAGAACUCGGGUGAAGGAACUAGGCAAAAUGGCACCGUAACUUCGGGAGAAGGUGCGCCGGCUAGGGUGAAGGAUUUACUCCGUAAGCUCUGGCUGGUCGAAGAUACCAGGCCGCUGCGACUGUUUAUUAAAAACACAGCACUCUGCAAACACGAAAGUGGACGUAUAGGGUGUGACGCCUGCCCGGUGCCGGAAGGUUAAUUGAUGGGGUUAGCGCAAGCGAAGCUCUUGAUCGAAGCCCCGGUAAACGGCGGCCGUAACUAUAACGGUCCUAAGGUAGCGAAAUUCCUUGUCGGGUAAGUUCCGACCUGCACGAAUGGCGUAACGAUGGCGGCGCUGUCUCCACCCGAGACUCAGUGAAAUUGAAAUCGCUGUGAAGAUGCAGUGUAUCCGCGGCUAGACGGAAAGACUCCGUGAACCUUUACUGUAGCUUUGCACUGGACUUUGAGCCUGCUUGUGUAGGAUAGGUGGGAGGCUUUGAAGCGUGGACGCCAGUUCGCGUGGAGCCAUCCUUGAAAUACCACCCUGGCAUGCUUGAGGUUCUAACUCUGGUCCGUAAUCCGGAUCGAGGACAGUGUAUGGUGGGCAGUUUGACUGGGGCGGUCUCCUCCUAAAGAGUAACGGAGGAGUACGAAGGUGCGCUCAGACCGGUCGGAAAUCGGUCGCAGAGUAUAAAGGCAAAAGCGCGCUUGACUGCGAGACAGACACGUCGAGCAGGUACGAAAGUAGGUCUUAGUGAUCCGGUGGUUCUGUAUGGAAGGGCCAUCGCUCAACGGAUAAAAGGUACUCCGCGGAUAACAGGCUGAUACCGCCCAAGAGUUCAUAUCGACGGCGGUGUUUGGCACCUCGAUGUCGGCUCAUCACAUCCUGGGGCUGAAGCCGGUCCCAAGGGUAUGGCUGUUCGCCAUUUAAAGUGGUACGCGAGCUGGGUUUAGAACGUCGUGAGACAGUUCGGUCCCUAUCUGCCGUGGACGUUUGAGAUUUGAGAGGGGCUGCUCCUAGUACGAGAGGACCGGAGUGGACGAACCUCUGGUGUUCCGGUUGUCACGCCAGUGGCAUUGCCGGGUAGCUAUGUUCGGAAAAGAUAACCGCUGAAAGCAUCUAAGCGGGAAACUUGCCUCAAGAUGAGAUCUCACUGGGAACUUGAUUCCCCUGAAGGGCCGUCGAAGACUACGACGUUGAUAGGCUGGGUGUGUAAGCGUUGUGAGGCGUUGAGCUAACCAGUACUAAUUGCCCGUGAGGCUUGACC
rnacentral:rRNA from 1 species